AGUCAACAUGCCCAGGGGACGUGGAUAACCUCGGGAAACUGAGGAUAAACCGCGAUAGGUCAUCACUUCUGGAAUGGGUAAUGACUUAAAUCUAUAUGGCCCCUGGAUUGGACUGCGGCCGAUCAGGCUGUUGGUGAGGUAAUGGCCCACCAAACCUGUAACCGGUACGGGCUCUGAGAGGAGGAGCCCGGAGAUGGGCACUGAGACAAGGGCCCAGGCCCUAUGGGGCGCAGCAGGCGCGAAACCUCUGCAAUAGGCGAAAGCUUGACAGGGUUACUCUGAGUGAUUUCCGUUAAGGAGAUCUUUUGGCACCUCUAAAAAUGGUGCAGAAUAAGGGGUGGGCAAGUCUGGUGUCAGCCGCCGCGGUAAUACCAGCACCCCGAGUGGUCGGGACGCUUAUUGGGCCUAAAGCAUCCGUAGCCGGUUCUACAAGUCUUCCGUUAAAUCCACCUGCUUAACAGAUGGGCUGCGGAAGAUACUAUAGAGCUAGGAGGCGGGAGAGGCAAGCGGUACUCGAUGGGUAGGGGUAAAAUCCGUUGAUCCAUUGAAGACCACCAGUGGCGAAGGCGGCUUGCCAGAACGCGCUCGACGGUGAGGGAUGAAAGCUGGGGGAGCAAACCGGAUUAGAUACCCGGGUAGUCCCAGCUGUAAACGAUGCAGACUCGGUGAUGAGUUGGCUUAUUGCUAACUCAGUGCCGCAGGGAAGCCGUUAAGUUUGCCGCCUGGGGAGUACGGUCGCAAGACUGAAACUUAA
rnacentral:rRNA from 1 species